rnacentral:rRNA from 1 species
GACGAACGCUGGCGGCGUGCUUAACACAUGCAAGUCGAACGGAAAGGCCCUGCUUUUGUGGGGUGCUCGAGUGGCGAACGGGUGAGUAACACGUGAGUAACCUGCCCUUGACUGUGGGAUAACUUCAGGAAACUGGGGCUAAUACCGGAUAGGAGCUCCUGCUGCACGGUGGGGGUUGGAAAGAUUCGGCGGUUGGGGCUGGAUUGGCGGGUUAUCCGCUGGAUGGUGGGGUAGUGGUUUACCAAGGCUUUGACGGGUAGCCCGCCUGAGAGGGUGACCGGCCACCUUGGGACUGCGAUACGGCCCAGACUCCUACGUGCGGCAGCAGUGGGGAAUAUUGCACAAUGGGGGGAAGCCUGAUGCAGCAACGCCGCGUGCGGGAUGCCGGCCUUCGGGUUGUAAACCGCUUUCGACUGUGACGAAGCGUGCGUGACGGUAAUGGGUAAAGAAGCACCGGCUAACUACGUG